CGGACCGGCGCACGGUGAGUAACGCGUAUGCAACCUACCUAUCAGAGGGAAGUAACCCGGCGAAAGUCGGACUAAUACCGCAUAAAACAGGGGUUCCACAUGGAAAUAUUUGUUAAAGAAUUAUCGCUGAUAGAUGGGCAUGCGUUCCAUUAGAUAGUUGGUGAGGUAACGGCUCACCAAGUCCACGAUGGAUAGGGGUUCUGAGAGGAAGGUCCCCCACACUGGUACUGAGACACGGACCAG
rnacentral:rRNA from 1 species